ensembl:snRNA U1 U1 spliceosomal RNA
AUACUUACCCAGUGGCGGGGGGGGGGUACCAUGAUCACGAAGGUGUUUUUUCUCAAGGCAAGGCUUAUCCAUUGCACUCUGGAUGUGCCGACCCUUGCAAUUUCCCCAAAUGCAGGAAACUCAACUGCAUAAUUUGUGGUAUUGGGGGACUGCGUUUGCACUCUCCCCUG